rnacentral:ncRNA from 1 species
CUGUCACAACGGCUUCCUGACGUGACGGUGUAUCUUUAAUGGAGCA